UACGUAGGGUGCGAGCGUUAAUCGGAUUUACUGGGCGUAAAGCGUGCGCAGGCGGCCCGUUAAGACAGGUGUGAAAUCCCUGGGCUCAACCUAGGAAUUGCGCUUGUGACUGGCGGGCUCGAGUACGGUAGAGGGGGGUGGAAUUCCUGGUGUAGCAGUGAAAUGCGUAGAGAUCAGGAGGAACACCGAUGGCGAAGGCAGCCCCCUGGGCCUGUACUGACGCUCAUGCACGAAAGCGUGGGGAGCAAACGGG
rnacentral:rRNA from 1 species